rnacentral:rRNA from 1 species
GUAACACGUAGUCAACCUGCCCUGGAGACAUGGACAACCCCGGGAAACUGGGAUUAAUCCGUGAUAGGUCAUCUCAUCUGGAAGGAGAGAUGGCUUAAAGGGGUACGCGGGCUUCUUCUGCGUAUUCGCUCCAGGAUGGGACUGCGUCCGAUCAGGCUGUUGGCGGGGUAAUGGCCCACCAAACCUGUAACCGGUACGGGCCUUGAGAGAGGUGGCCCGGAGAUGGACACUGAGAGAAGGGUCCAGGUCCUACGGGGCGCAGCAGGCGCGAAACCUUCGCAAUGCGCGAAAGCGUGACGAGGUUAAUCCGAGUGGCCCCCGCUGAGGGGGUCUUUUGUCAGCUGUAAAUAGGCGGGCGAAUAAGGGGAGGGCAAGCCUGGUGUCAGCCGCCGCGGUAAUACCAGCUCCUCGAGUGGUCGGGGCGAUUAUUGGGCCUAAAGCAUCCGUAGCCGGUUCCGUAGGUCCUCUGUUAAAUCCACCCGCUUAACGGGUGACCUGCAGAGGAUACCGCGGGACU